AUGUCAUCAGUAGGAUCAGGGGCUUCUUCUGCUGCCGCAACCGGAAGAACACGAAAAGAUCCAGCCUGGGAGCAUGCUUUACCAAUUAUUGAUGAAUUCAGAACCAAGAACAGAGUUGGAUGCAGAUACUGCUUGAACUUUUUUAAUGGUGGCAUUACCAGAUUUAAGAAGCACUUGGCUGGAAUAAAAAAAGAUUCUGUAUGUUGCCGACAGGUUCCUGAUCAUGUUAAAGAGCAGAUGCUUACAUUGAUAGCUGAGAAUGAGAAAAAGAGGGAUAAAUCACUGAAGAACAUGUUGGAGUUGCAAGAGGAGGUCAGAGAGAUGUAUUGUUAG
rnacentral:rRNA from 1 species